CCGGUCCCCAUCGAAGUUUCCACAGGCCCCACACAGCAUGGCCGCAUAGUUGUCACCAACCAUCACAUCCAGAGGGUGGAAGGAUGCAUCCUUGUGACAUUCUGAAGUUAAGGGGGAAAGCUCCUCAGAUCAGACAGACAAAUUUAUUUAUUUUAUGUAUGUGAGUACACAGUUGCUGUCUUCAGAUACACACCAGAAGAGGACACCACAUCUCAUUACAGAUGGUUCUGAGCCACCAUGUGGUUGCUGGGAUUUGAACUCAGGACCUCUGGAAGAGCAGUCAGUGCUCUUAACCACUGAGCCAUCUUUCCCGUCCCCUGGACUGGGACUUUUGUUGGACCCGUUUCUGCUGAGGUGGUCAGGGUGGGACAGGUGGUACUUCUCAUGAAAGAAAACAAAAACAAAAACAAGCAAACAAACAAACAGCCUGCCUAAGAAUGAAGGACUUUCCCUUUUAAUCCCAGCACUUAGGAAGUAGAGGCAGGUGGAUCUAUGUGAGUUCGAGGCCAGUAUGAUCUACAUAGUGAGUAUCAGGAUAGCUAACGCUACACAGAUGCAUUCACAGAUCCUGUCCAAAGAGAGACAGGGAGACAGAGGCAGAGACAUUGACUUCAGGGACAAGUCAGAAACCCAGAAACCUAGCGGUGGAGCCACCGACAGUGGAGCUGGACUGUCUGGGUGCAGACACUUCUGGGACCGUCUCUGGGUUUCCCAGAUAUGGGGCCAGUCCAUUCAUCUCCCCUCAGCCCUCAGGGUUGUAUUUGGUUUCCUGUCACUGCUAACCAGUGGAGUGUGGAUCAAAAUCAACAGCAAAGCUAGCCUGAAUGUAAGAACUGAGGCCCAGGAGAGGGACCCAGGCUGACGUGGAGAGACAGUUACAAAUCCAGAGAAAAGUGCAGAGACCCGGAUGGGGAACACAGCCUGCAGGGUCACUAUGUAGCCAGGAUGUAGGACUCCAUGACAGGAAGAAGGAAAGCCAGGGAAGACGGCCCUGCCCUCUGUGCCCAGGCUUACCCACACGCCCUUGCUUGGGAUCACAGUCACC